GACGAACGCUGGCGGCGUGCUUAACACAUGCAAGUCGAACGGAGUGGCGAACGGGUGAGUAACACGUGGGUGAUCUGCCUUGCACUUCGGGAUCAGCUUGGGAAACUGGGUCUAAUACCGGAUAGUGCAAGAUGAGCUCGCGGCCUAUCAGCUUGUUGGUGGGGUAAUGGACUACCAAGGCGUCGACGGGUAGCCGGCCUGAGAGGGUGUACGGCCACAGUGGGACUGAGAUACGGUCCCGAGGCCUACGGGGGGCAGCAGGGGGGAAUAUUGCACGAUGGGCGGAAGCAUGAUGGAGCGACGCCGCGUGGGGGAGGAAGGCCUUCGGGUUGUAAACUCCUUUAGACAGGGAAGCGGUACCUGUAUAAGAAGCACCGGCUAACUACGUGCCAGCAGCCGCGGUAAUUC
rnacentral:rRNA from 1 species